rnacentral:rRNA from 1 species
UACGUAGGUGGCGAGCGUUGUCCGGAUUUACUGGGCGUAAAGGGAGCGUAGGCGGAUUCUUAAGUGAGAUGUGAAAUACUCGGGCUCAACUUGAGUGCUGCAUUUCAAACUGGAAGUCUAGAGUGCAGGAGAGGAGAAUGGAAUUCCUAGUGUAGCGGUGAAAUGCGUAGAGAUUAGGAAGAACACCAGUGGCGAAGGCGAUUCUCUGGACUGUAACUGACGCUGAGGCUCGAAAGCGUGGGGAGCAAACAGG